UACAGAGGUCCCAAGCGUUGUUCGGAUUCAUUGGGCGUAAAGGGUGCGUAGGCGGCGCGGUAAGUCGGGUGUGAAAUCUCAGAGCUCAACUCUGAAACUGCACUCGAUACUGCUCUGCUUGAGGACUGGAGAGGAGACUGGAAUUCACGGUGUAGCAGUGAAAUGCGUAGAUAUCGUGAGGAAGACCAGUGGCGAAGGCGGGUCUCUGGACAGUUCCUGACGCUGAGGCACGAAGGCCAGGGGAGCAAACGGG
rnacentral:rRNA from 1 species